rnacentral:rRNA from 1 species
UAGUCCACGCCCUAAACGAUGCUUACUCGAUGUUUGGGCUAUAAGCUUGAGCAUCCAAGGGAAACCAUUAAGUAAGCCACCUGGGGAGUACGUUCGCAAGAAUGAAACUCAAAGGAAUUGACGGGGUCCGCACAAGCGGUGGAGCAUGUGGUUUAAUUCGAGGCAACGCGAAGAACCUUACCAGCCCUUGACAUACUGGUCGCGGAUUUCAGAGAUGAUUUCCUUCAGCUUGGCUGGACCAUGUACAGGUGCUGCACGGCUGUCGUCAGCUCGUGUCGUGAGAUGUUGGGUUAAGUCCCGCAACGAGCGCAACCCUCAUCCUUAGUUGCUAACAUUUAGUUGAGAACUCUAAGGAAACUGCCGGUGAUAAACCGGAGGAAGGUGGGGAUGACGUCAAGUCUUCAUGGGCCCUUAUGGGGCUGGGGCUACACACGUGCUACAAUGGCGAUGACAAAGGGCAGCGACCUCGCGAGGGGAAGC